rnacentral:pre_miRNA from 1 species
CAAAAGCAAUCGUCGUUCACUCUCCCUCAAGGGCUUCUCUUCGAUCCAUAUAUAACGUACAUAUGCUCAAAUGAGUGGUGAUGGAUCGACGCUGAAGCCCUUAGGGCAGAGUGAUCGACUCCGGCUUUCUCAUUUUCC